GUAGGACCUGAGAAGCAAUAACAAGAGGGAGAGUGGGAGAGUAUCUUCUUUGAAAGUGAAAUGUCUCUCUCCUCCCUGCAGGUAAAUGUGACGGCACUAUGAGCAUGCACAUUUUUUGGAUGACGAUGAUGAAAGAGCGAUUCAAGUCUGCUGGAAGAUGAAAGAGAUGUCGGUGCUCCUCUCUGGUUUCAUUACUCACAAUUCGGGUGUCUUUUACAAACUCAUCUCCUCCUCUCCACCACUCCUCUCUUCCACCUUUUCAAUUCUUACCCAUCGCUGUUCAAACCCUGCUCAGCUGUCGGACCCCCCCUUCCCCCAUCCCCUCUCCACGGCUCAAUGGAGUCAUCUUCACCCUAAGACAUUCACUAAUAGGAUCACAAUGAUUCCAGUAGGACUUUGAUGGUGGAAAUUGAGACAAAUCGGUUGAAUUUCACAGAGGUUGUUGCGUUGUGCUGCCUUGCACUAACUGAUUUCCUGGUCCCAAAUCCCAUUCUCAGCAAUCUGGGUUGAAACAGAUAAAUGAAUGCUCUGCAAAGUAAAUUUUCACACACAUAUACUUCAUUAAACUGAAGGUCGCAGCUGUUUUGAUGUUUUUAUUUUGGUAGAUUUCACAGAUGCAGGAUUUGUCAAACACAUUAUCCCGUUUUUUCUUUCUUGUCACCACUGGCGCUAAAGACGGUCAUGCUGGGAGGAUUGAAGGGUUUGAAUAGGUCAGGUUUUAUGCCGUGCUAUUUCUCUCUGUUUGUUUGUUUUUGUUUCUUUGUAUUCUGUUGUUUUCAUCAAAUUCCAUCAUUAUAUUUUCCAGCAGGCUCGAAUCAUAUGUAGGUUGGCUUGUCUCUGUUGGUUUCUUUCAAAAAGGCUUUAGUGAUGAAUGGCUAUACUGAAUAAAUAAAUCUGACUUCUAACAACUAUCAAAUCUAGCUUUCAAGCACACUCUCUGUAGUUGUUUUGAAUAUGCAAUAUUCAGCCACCCUUGCACAUCAUGCUUGUCAAACCCAGAGAACAUUUUUUUCUAUGGAGAAAUAUGGUUUAAAGUAAGGGUUUGAUGGAUUUGAAACUUCAGAAUGUGAGGACUUCUUUCUGCAAUAAUAAAGAAAAAAAUCGAUGAAGUAUUUAUCAGUUACACAUGAAUGCCAAAUGACAGAUAGGAAAAACAAAUUAGAGAGAACAAGGCUCAGGAGUGAGAGUCUAACCUGAUGCUGUUACACCGUUAUUCAUCCUGAUUGACUGUCUGACAGGGUUGAUAACCUCGUCUCUUCUCCAUCUGUCAACAGCCAUCCUCCUCAUGUGAACCACUUUCUUCUGGGAGGAGAAAAAAAAGGAGACAACAGAGGACUGGAGCAAAACAGAAUAGGAAAGAAGUCACCGACAGCUCUCAAAACAUCAACAUCUGCGGGGUCUAUUUCACGGAUAGUAAAGCGUCAAAGACGUGCAGGAUGACAAUGACAACUACAGGUCUGACCACAGACAUGUUCUCAUAAAUCCUUCAGGAAACAAGUGUUUGCAGGAAGAAUGAUAUCCUGGAGUCUAUGACCUGUGUGUAAAGUUUUGAAUAAGAUGAAUGAAAGUCAAGGGAUAUGAGUCCUUAUACUUAAAUACUGUGUACUAGUGCUCCUUAAACAGAGCUUUUGCUAUAACUGCUUCGACUAAUUAAACUCUUUAAUCCACCUGACAGCAGUUUACUGUAUUAGAUUUGACAUAUUGCUAAUGCAUUUGCAUCGCUACAACCUCAGUCUAAUUAGCGACUUCAGUAGGGACUCGUUACUGAUUUUUUUUGACGAAACACCACCAAGUACCAAACCCUGUUUCAGUCUCUUUAAACUCCCAGUGAAGAUAUGGCUCCGCUCUGCCCUUCUGCUAGUCUCAAAUUUUGUUUCUCCUGCUAUUCAGAGUUUGGCAGGUAGUGCACAACAGAAAUUGGAAAUCAGUGCAGAGGAAAUAAUUCAAUAUAGUUAAAAUUCCCAUAACUAGCGAGGAAGUUUAUGAGAAAUCAUAUAAAAUCAGGUGUCUAAGGUCAAAGCUGAUUUAAAGGUAAAAGGGAAAGGUUAACAAAUUGAUUUUCAAAUUAUUUCUUGAACCAAAACAUGAUUCAGUUAAACAGCUGUAAAAAUAGUCCCUAAAUUUAGUAACACUUCCAUGGUAAUGGAACCUUAGCAGACCUCUUGUGGCACAAAUCAGGCCUGGUUCCCUAAAGCAUGCAUUGCACCUUCCAUCCGAGAUCAUGACAGGUGAAUGCAGUCUGCAGGGUAUCCAGAGUUGUCGAAAGUAUCAAUACUUAAACGCCAUAUCUGGAUACCAUACUAAUUUGCCAUGGUAUCGAUACUAAAAGUGUACUUGCCCACAGCGCCCACCCAGCGCACUCCGCAAGCAGCGCAGCCGACCCGGCAGACAGCAUCCGCCCAGCAGGCCGGUAGUCAGGAGAGCCCCCACUUGCUGUCCCAAUGUUUUAUUGCUACUAAGUAUGGCCAGUGUUUCAAAGUGGUGGCGACAAAGUCAAGUAGCACGACUAAUUUAGCAAAACACCCUAAGGACCAGCACCCUGGCCUUCAUGACAAAUUCCUGCAGGUUAUUAAAGUUCCUGUUCAUCCUUUACCUUACUGUAUUAAACUGAAUAAUUAUGUAAGUCUGGGCAGUGGCCAGCAUUAAUCCGCUGUAGCCGCGGUUAACUUUAUGCUCAGUGAAUUUUGUUUGUUUUGUUAUUAGCCAUUAGCAGUGGGCCCACUGUUAGUAGCCUUUGGCUCCCUAACGUGACUCUAGCGCGUUUUCUUCUCUUAAAGAUGCAGACUGAAGCAGGGAGAAGUUGAUCUGCAACUAAACCGAGAAACCACAACCUACUCUUCCACUGCUAUUAGAAAAACAGAGAAAGUAUGACCCAAAGUCUCCUGAAGCUGUCAAAACAAAUAGAGCUGUAGCAGAGUAUAUCUGUGAGGACCAACUACCCAUUAACACAGUGGAGAAACCUGGGUUUGAAGUGAAAAAGUGAUUGUCUUGUUUUUCAUAUAUUUAUUUUUUUCAUUUUCCUAUUAUUUAAAAAUUUUAGUUAAUUGGUCAUAUAUAUGCCAUUCCAUUUUUUAUGUUAAUAAAAAUAUUUUUUAUGCCUUUUAAAGUAUUUGUCAUUUUUAAUCCCCCUGGUAUCGAAAAUGGUAUUGGGUAUGGGUAUUGAUAUCGAGUUUAAAAUUUUAGUAUUGUGACAACCCUAAUGCAGUCUGUCCUACUCCUAGACUUCAUCAGUACUACUAGCUAUUUACUGAAUUGCUAAAUUCAUUAGCUAUUCUGAGAGCAUACCAGGUGCCAAAAAUCAAACUGUGAGAGCCAUAGUACAAAGUGCUCCAUAACUUUUGACAUCUCUCUCUACAUCUCGGAUCUUUAAAGUUAGUCCAGUCACGAGUCCUCAGGAUCAGGAGACAGACUUAAGUCCCAGUCCUUAACUCGAGUACUACAACAGUACUCACCUCAACUUUGUGCAGACUUCUACUAAGGGGGCUGAAUAUAAACGAAGAGUGAACAGAUUGAGUCUUUUGUGCUAACACAUGCAUCCCACCUGAACUGAGUCUGGAAAUCCCAGAGAGUGCAGCGUAUGUGUCAGAAGGGUUUCAGAAUCUCCAGGGACUGCAUGAAGCCGACUUUAUUGUUCACAAAUGCAUGCAGUGUUGAGUCUAAAGUAUGUAUGACAAGCUCCUGUGAUUAUUCUGCACAUCACCUUUACACUCUACAUCAGGAAACAGCUUUUAUCGACGGAUCAUUUCAUAAGCUGUUUCUCUAAACGACCCCGGUCUUUCAAGGCAUGUUAUCCUCUAUUAGCCCUACGUUACACUAUUCACUGGUGGCUCUUAAUUAAACAUGAUCAGCAAGGGCUAAGUCUCCAUUUCUGUCUUGAUAAGCCAUGAGAGCUCUCCAAGGGUAAAGCCAGAGCUAACAUGCAGCGUGUGGGGGGGAUUACGAUUGGUUUUAAGUCUCACUUCAUUCCUGCUGCCCUUGUUCGUCCUCAGCAGUCUGUCCUUAGCAGGCUGAGAUGCCCCAGUGAGCUGAAGUAACAUGCAUUUAUAUCACCGAUGUGGCUGUUAGAGCUCUCCAGAGUUUUCAUCUCACCGCAGCCAAAGAAACUGACACUUUAAGCUGCGUUGCAAUUAACGGGCUCACAUUUGGGCAGGGCCUCCAAGAGGACCAUUACCAUAUGCUAAUUUGGCAACUGAAGGCUUAUUGAAUUACUUAAGGGGUUGAACUAUGUAUAAGUUUUAUUACUGCUAUGGCAGAUGCUUAAUGACCCUCAACAAUGAUAAAAUAUUUUAUAAUGAUCAAACUCUGAGAACUGCAGGCAGGACUGCUGUGAGAUGGUUGGGAGGAGAGAAAUAAUUUAACAGCCCUCUGUCUGUACGGGGCUCAGAGACAUUUUUCAUAAAGAAACUUCAUAAAGAAGAAAAUUGUGUUAUCCAUGCACACGUUGCAUGUUUUACAAGGGCCUGAAAUUCCUAUCAGGAUUACUGACUGACAGACUGAGGCAGCAGGAAUGUUUUAAUAUUGAGAGCAGUAGAUGUGUUUUUUAAAAUAUUCAAUACUUCUAAUUAAAAUAGUCCAUUAUGUAUGCUGAAAACAUACCAAGGUCCCAGAACAAUACCAUGGUCCUGAAUGUUACACCUGCUCUUGUAUUGCAUUACUUUAAUGCCAGCUAGGAAAGAUAAAGCCAUUUUAAUCAUGAUGGAUUUCUGUCUGAUGUGAAAACUUUGUGUCUACAACAAUUCAGUUAUCAUUAAUGCUACAUUUUCAGCAUAAGCUCAUUCACUAUUGCCAUCUAAUUAGAUUAUAUUAGAGAUAUUCUCAGUGUCACAGUGUAAAAGAAUACUUUUUUGUCAAAGCUAAUGCUUCUAUAAGAGCUCAGUGCUCCAAACGGCUCUCUCUUACUGAAAAGACCAUCAAAAUCUCUUUGGUAGGUAGACAAAUCACUUCAAUGGCUUUCAUCUCCAUUUAUGAAAUUACCCUUUUAACUUAAGUGCUCUGAUGAAUUUGCUAAAAACUGAUCAUACUGUUCUGGAGAUGUAAUUUUCUUCUUUUCUUUUUUGUCCUUCUCCUAAUGUAACUGUAAUUCUGCUAACACUUCUCAGUAAAAUUUCCAGUAAAUUACUUGGAGCGCUGCCUUGAAUUGCAGUUCUAAGCUUGGCUGACCUUAGAUAAACAAGUGGUGAUCAAAAAUUAAGGAAAAUAACCUGUCUUUUGAAUAUUAUCAACAUAAAUCUAAUAGUUAUUAACAUUUUAAGCAGUCAUUUAAUUCAAAUGUGUUGCUUUCAUAUUUCUUAGGCAGUUGUUAGUUAGCCAUUCCACUUGUUUUUAAAGGAUUCAAGUCCAAAAACAAAUCAAAUUUAAUGACAAUAACUCAAUAAAGGAGGUUUGAUAAUCCAUCUGAUUUUGGAGAUUAAGUAGCCACUGUCACCAAGAUUUAACUUCCACGUGUAAUUAUUGUUGCAAAGUAUUUGACAUUAUCAGCUCUGUACCUGUGUUUAUAUUAUGUACUUGCAAAUAGAAGCAUAGCUGACUGUUUUAACAUUGAUGCCUGUUAAACAUCUGCAUUGUCAGAGUGCAUGUCAUCAUGCUUGCAAUAGCUUUAGCUUACGCCAACUAUCAAAUGAGCAUAAAGCAGCCCCAGCAAAAAAAAAAAAAAACUUUCAUUGUAAGCUAGCAAGCUAACAUACCCAAGUGUAAAAAGUAACACGUAUCUGGCUUGACUUUGCUGUUCAACAGCUCCUCGGCCUUCAUGGAUGGAGUCACAGUCUUGAAUUUUAGCAAAAGAAGAUUAGAUAACUAUGUGGUUUAUUUUUGUAGCACUUAAAUUACAGGUUGAUGAGGAUGAAGUGUAAAUACCAUAGACUGUAUAUAGAAUGGACGCCGUCUGCCUCCUCGCUGGGUGAAGCCACUCCGAGAACAGCACCCUCUGUUGACGGGCUGCAGUAUAGGUCAUAAAUCCUGCCUCCGCCAGCAAAGCUUAUGGGGCUGUGGACAAACUUUAGAAAUUUAUUACUCAGAAUAUAAAUUUAUCUCCCUCCUGCUUGCGAUGUUGACAUGUAGUUACAGUAAGACUGGUUUGUGCUCAAGUCCUCUUUUUUCUGUUUAGCUCCAUUUGUAAAAGUUAUUCAGGAGUUCAUGUGUUCUAUGAUUGACACUUGAGACAGCAUAUUGGCGAUCAAGGAUUGCGUAGCUGUUUGUACGCUGUUUGAGCCGAGCGUCAUCACAGCGACUCUCGGCGACUCUCCGGCCAAAUGCAUACAACGGUACUAAGCAAUGCUGGUUUGAGGAAAUGAAGUAAAAUUGCGGAAAUAGCAAGAGCUUUUUGGCUUCAAAUCCGUAUACUGGCAGGAGGCGGAACCAGGUUGUCCAUAGUAUAUACAGUCUAUGGUAAAUACUGGAAUAAACUGAACUGACUGGUGAUAGAAUUUUCAAGUUUGAUGAGGAGAUUUUUACCCCUGAAUUUGCACAGGUUAAACUAUUCUUUUUUCGCUUAAUGAUCAACAAUUUGACCUGUCCAUCACCCUGGUUGUACGUCUUUAAGACUGAAUAAAAUUAAGCGUUGUUAUGGAUUGCAUGUUAUCAUGCUAAUAUUUGCAAUUAGGGCCCGGCACUCUCUCCCGACAUCUCUGGCUUACUAAUGAAAAUAUUACAACCCCCAUGUCUAAGUAACUCACCUAGUAUGGCUGUAGAGUCUCGCUCACAUAACUCUUGGCAAGUUAGCAAAUACUAGCUAUCUAGUAUAUAUACUGUAGAUAGUAACUCUGAAAAUGUACUAGACUGACUCUGCUAUUCAACAUUUGCCAUUGCUAAGCCAGCACACUAAUGUUAGCAUUUACCUGAAAGCA
rnacentral:lncRNA from 1 species